GUGAGUUGGGUUUGUGGAAAAGCGGAAAGCGCGCCUAUCCCUAGUGCGCAUGACAGAAAAGCGGUCUCUUCCCACCGCCUCCUGAGCCCCAGUACUUUUGGGAAGGGGAAGCGCAAGCAGUGGGCGUGGCGUAGGAAAUGGGAAGGGGCUUCGGAGACGACUGGCUUUAAAGCUGUUUCAGCAUUUUGGUGCCAAAUAAUUGGUAUUCAUACUUACCCAAGCCGAUUGCCCAUGUUACCCCUGGUGCAGCCUGUGUUAAUAUGGUAUUAAAGGAAGCAAAGAGUAAGAAGGAACAAACGCCAGCAGGGGAUGGAGACUGUGCUGCUCUUCACCAUAUGAUUUGCCCCUACUCUUGACCUGCCUUUGGCAUGUUUCCUCCUGGAAGAGACCGACUGGACCAGAGCAGCAGAGACUUAAGGAACCAUUCAGCCAUCCAUCUUGUUAUGUGCAUCUUAAUGACUGUGAUAGCCCUGAACUUGUGCUGGCCAGAUGCCCAGCUGAGCUGCUCUGGAAAAUGAACUUUUGGGACUUCAUCAAAAUCAAAAGCUUCUGCACAGCAAAGGAAACUGUCAACAAAACAAAGAGGCAACCCACGGAAUGGGAGAAGGUAUUUGCAAAUGACAGUACAGACAAAAGGUUGAUAUCCAGGAUCUAUAAAGAACUUCUCAAACUCAACACACACAAAACAGAUAAUCAUAUCAAAAAAUGGGCAGAAGAUAUGAACAGAUACUUCUCCAAUGAAGACAUACAAAUGGCUAUCAGACACAUGAAAAAAUGUUCAUCAUCACUAGCCAUUAGGGAGAUUCAAAAUAAAACCACAUUGAGAUACUACCUUACACCACUUAGAAUGGUCAAAAUUAGCAAGACAGGAAACAACAUGUGUUGAAGGGGAUGUGGAGAAAGGGGAACCCUCUUACACUGUUGGUGGGAAUGCAAGUUGGUGCAGCCACUUUGGAGAACAGUGUGGAGAUUCCUCAAGAAAUUAAAAAUAGAGCUUCCCUAUGACCCUGCAAUUGCACUCCUGGGUAUUUACCCCAAAGAUACAGAUGUAGUGAAAAGAAGGGCCAUCUGUACCCCAAUGUUUAUUGCAGCAAUGGCCACGGUCGCCAAACUGUGGAAAGAACCAAGAUGCCCUUCAUCGGACGAAUGGAUAAGGAAGAUGGUCCAUAUACACUAUGGAGUAUUAUGCCUCCAUUAGAAAGGAUGAAUACCCAACUUUUGUAGCAACAUGGACAGGACUGGAAGAGAUUAUGCUGAGUGAAAUAAGUCAAGCAGAGAGAGUCAAUUAUCAUAUGAUUUCACUUAUUUGUGGAGCAUAACAAAUAGCAUGGAAGACAUGGGGAGAUGGAAAGGAGAAGGGAGUUGAGGGAAAUUGGAAGGGGAGGUGAAUCAUGAGAGACUAGGGACCCUGAAAAACAAUCUGAGGGUUUUGAAGGGGCAGGGGGUGGGAGGUUGGGAGAACCAGGUGGUGGGUAUUGGAGAGGACACGGAUUGCAUAGAGCACUGGGUGUGGUGCAAAAAC